CCAUAUGCGACCGUACCGCAAACCGACACUGGUGCGCGAGAUGAGUAUUCUAAGGCGCUUGAGAGAACUCAGGAGAAGGAACUCGGCAAAUUGACACCGUAACUUCGGAAGAAGGUGUGCCCUAUUAGUGUGUAGUGAACAACGAAGCAUGAAUGGGUUGCAAAAAAUCGGUGGCUGCGACUGUUUAUUAAAAACACAGCACUCUGCAAACACGAAAGUGGACGUAUAGGGUGUGACGCCUGCCCGGUGCUGGAAGAUUAAAUGAUGGGGUGCAAGCUCUUGAUUGAAGUCCCAGUAAACGGCGGCCGUAACAAUAACGGUCCUAAGGUAGCGAAAUUCCUUGUCGGGUAAGUUCCGACCUGCACGAAUGGCGUAACGAUGGCCACACUGUCUCCUCCUGAGACUCAGCGAAGUUGAAAUGUUUGUGACGAUGCAAUCUCCCCGCGGAAAGACGGAAAGACCCCAUGAACCUUUACUGUAGCUUUGUAUUGGACUUUGAACAGAUCUGUGUAGGAUAGGUGGGAGGCUUUGAAGCAGGGUCGCUAGAUCUUGUGGAGCCAACGUUGAAAUACCACCCUGGUGUGUUUGAGGUUCUAACCUAGGUCCAUUAUCUGGAUCGGGGACAGUGCAUGGUAGGCAGUUUGACUGGGGCGGUCUCCUCCCAAAGCGUAACGGAGGAGUUCGAAGGUACGCUAGUUACGGUCGGACAUCGUGACGAUAGUGCAAUGGCAUAAGCGUGCUUAACUGCGAGACUGACAAGUCGAGCAGAUGCGAAAGCAGGACAUAGUGAUCCGGUGGUUCUGUAUGGAAGGGCCAUCGCUCAACGGAUAAAAGGUACUCUGGGGAUAACAGGCUGAUACCGCCCAAGAGUUCAUAUCGACGGCGGUGUUUGGCACCUCGAUGUCGGCUCAUCUCAUCCUGGGGCUGUAGCCGGUCCCAAGGGUAUGGCUUUCGCCAUUUAAAGAGGUACGUGAGCUGGGUUUAAAACGUCGUGAGACAGUUUGGUCCCUAUCUUCCGUGGGCGCUGCAGAUUUGAGGAAGCCUGCUCCUAGUACGAGAGGACCGGAGUGGACACACCUCUGGUGUAUCGGUUGUCACGCCAGUGGCAUUGCCGAGUAGCUAAGUGCGGAAGAGAUAACCGCUGAAAGCAUCUAAGCGGGAAACUCGUUUCAAGAUGAGAUCUGCCGGGGCCUUGAGCCCCCUAAAGAGUCGUUCAAGACCAGGACGUUGAUAGGUCAGGUGUGGAAGCG
rnacentral:rRNA from 1 species